UGGAAGGCCCAGCUUUGCAGUG
rnacentral:miRNA from 1 species